GAGUCAGAGAGAUGCCAUGGGGCCACGGCCAGAGUCAGACAUACCAAAACUUUGCUGGUAAGCCACUGCCACAGGGUGAUAUACAGAUUAAUGGAGAUGGGUUAAAUUAAAAUGUAAGAGCUUGCAGAUAAGAAGUGAGAAUUAAUAGGCCAAACAGUGUUUUAAAUAAUAUAGUUUCUGUGUGAUUGUUUUGGGUCUAAGCUAGCCAGGUGGUCGGGAACCAACAAGUAGCCCUCCUUCCAAUAUCAGACUCAUUCCACAUCUGGUGUCUCCACUCUUCUUCCCAGUCUUCUCUCUGUCCUGAGAAUCUUGCCUAGCAAUGGGGCAUUUAGCUUUUUAUUAAACCAAUUACAGUGACGUAUCUUCAAACAGUGUAAAGGAAUAUCCUGUAAUACUAGUAUAUUAGACUUUAUGGCUUGAAACAAGAUCUAUUUUUUUUUUGAAAUCUCAGUCUAUCAGUCAGGAAGGAGUGUGGACACAAGUUAGCUGGUUCCUCAGCAAGGCUCCAAAUAUGUGACUUGGGGCUACGAUCACAUCUGGGGCUGAAAUAGAAAGCAGCUCCUCCUCAACCCAUCCACACUGUUAGAAAGCCUAUCUCCGUGCUGCUGUGAGACUCAUUUUCUUCCUUGCUCUGGGUGCCUUUGACUUCACGUCAUAGCUUUUCAGUAAAUUGGGUACAUGGCCCUCUGACACAGGCAUCCCAGACAUGGCAGUUUGCUUCUAUGAAACUAGAAAGAAAAAGAGAAGAAACACUCCAGCAAGAUGGGGCUUAGAAUCCAUGUAAAGUAACGGUUCCGUAACAGGUGUCUCAUGGCAUUUUCCCUAUCUGUUCUAUUGACUCAACACAGCCAGAGGCCACAGUCAAUCCCAUAAUUCUCUAACACAGGGCACGAGACAAAGGUGUGAAACGGAGUAACUUUAUGAAGCAGGCCUGUUCUACCAGCUUUGCUUGCUCACCUCAGAAUUACUAGGAAGAUGAAAAUAAACUAUUUUAUGUAAGCCAUCCUGUAGGGUUUUCCUGGUAACAGCCGAGCUCCUAUAUUACUGACACAACAGGUGAACAGGGGCAGCUAAGGAAUGCCUCAGUUUCCCUCCUGUGCCCCACUUGGUAAUGGCCUACGCUUUCCCUUCAGCUGCAGCCUCUCAGCUCUUGUUGAGUCUCUUACAGAUUUCAGCCGAAUAGUCUUCUGCUCAUUUUAAACCUUAGAAAGCUCCAGAAAAAAAAAAGAAGAAGAAGAAGAAAAGAUUCACAUUUCAAGUGUUUCUAUGGAAAUCAAACGAGAGGAUGUGCGACUCGCGGAGCCAAGUAGACUGGAAACUGUGUGUGGCCAAAUGUGACAGCUCGAGGGGAGAACAUGACAACCAACUCUUGACUUUUCACCCGCAGAACUGCACUGUGGCAUACAUGUCUUCUUGCAAAGAAGGGAAUGAACAGGAUCCAAUAUAAUCUGAUAUUUUACAGAGCAGCUUCCUCUCCAUUGAAGUCUCUGUAACUACUUGGAUAGAUACUGUUGUCUGAGAGAAAAUAGCAGCCUGAGGAGGUGAAAGAACUCCUUCUUAGACACACUUCCAGCAGCUAGACCGACUUCCUGAUUCCUGUCUGAGACUUCCUUGAGAUCAUUCUGCCUCUUAUGUUUGUCUAGCGCUUACAGUGCACUUACUAGGCACCGCUCCAGAAACUUCAAACAUGUUAAUUCACUUCAUUCUGACAUCAUCUCCUCGGAGAAGAUAACCGAAUCACCCUCAGAAGGAGGGAAAUGGGGCACAGAGAAGGACUGAAGGUACAUCACAGGGCACAUCCUAUCAAAAAGCUCUCAAAAUAACCAGCCAUCCUGCUAAAGCUGGCCAGCGACCUGCAGACCUUCAGAAAACUGAGGGACAUAAAAUGCGUUUCUCUCGAAAGAUUUCGCGACCUUUAUCUUGGAGAACACUAGGAAGGAUCCUAUUGGACUCAGGAAUGACAUGUCUAGACCCUGAAUUUAAUGUCACAGGAUGAGCUCUCAACAUCACAGAAAAGGAGGCACUGUGUUCUCCCCUGUAAUAUUUGGAGCACCCAGAGCUACCACCCUCGUCUUCGGUCCUUGGGACACUAGAGAGGGCUCCCUGUCAUCUUAUCAUCAUGCUGUUCAAGAUUUGCCAAGUGCCAUCCUAGGGGAAACCACACAAGAAAAUAAAAGGAAGCAGCACACACCCAAACAUUGCCUCUGUGCUAUGGGGCACAGUGCAACACAGAGACUGUGCUCUGAGUUCUUGUCUCGGUGUCCACACCUUCCAGAUGGUUCUCUGUGCUUUAGGACGUUGUUGUUGAAACUGAAGAAAGGAGAGCCCCAGUCAAGUGAGAACUGAACAAGCAUCGUCUGUUCAUACACCUUCAUAUAGUGUCGUCAUCAUGCACACGGCACAGGGCCCCAGUGAGGAGGAGGAAGGGGUAGGCCGAUGACAGCUGAAGAAGACUGUAUUUGCCGAGGAGCAGCAUGAGGGUAGAGAGGAGCAGAGCUCCUGAGGGAAACCUAAUAGUUCCUCUCCUUCCUGCACGGAGAUAAAGACUUAUAAUCAGCGUGUAUGUUCACCAUCUGGCUCGGCGCAUGUGGUCCGUAUGGAGGAGAAAGCCGCACAAUCUGUAAGUGAUCAGGAGCCAUGGCGCUCUCUCCAGAGAAUCCACGAUGCAAUCAAGGUGACAGAUGGCACGGCCACUGCUGUGGCCUCAUGGAGAAGAUCAAAAUCACCUUCAAUAAACUCUGACUGAAAUGGGCAUGAGCACCUCGAAAAAGUCAGUUUGUCAGUCAAACUGCGACAGCGCGCUGCACUGGGGAACCGCAGCGGCCAGCUCUGUGUUUUCGAUUGUUUCCGUCUGACUGGCCCUGAACUAUGAUCCUUCUCAAAUUGUCCUUUCUGUUUAGCCGAAGCAGGCCAGCAAAUUGCCAGAUUCAUUGCUUUAUUGAAGAAAAUUGAAAACACGAUGUCCUCAAUUCCGAGGACGCACAGCUGGCAGGUGCCAGGGACACCCAAACGCAGAGACUGGACCUGGUGUGUCUGCAGCCUGAGUCUGCACAACUUUAGGCAGAUUUUUUUUUUCUGAACACAAGUCUAAAAUGCAAAUGCGUGCCUGCAAGUGAUUACAUAAAGGGUAUUAAGUAACCAGGAAGUGUUGGCGGAAGAGAUAAAUGCUUACAAAGAAAAAAAAGGCAGAAAGGAAAGGCGGCAGAGAGGGAGAAGGGAAGCUUCAGUUGUUGUCUGUGCAUUUUCCUAGCAGGCUUCUUCCUUGACAGAACCAGUGUGUUUUCUUUCUGUGCAUGUUUAUUGUCUGGGUCCCUGUGGUCGGGCAACAGGGUUGGUGAAAUACAUCCCAUUUUGUUCGGAGCAAAUCUCAGGGAACUCCCACUCAGGGGUCAGCAAGUUUAGACAAAUCUCCGUUUCUCCCACCCCCCAGAGUGAAAACAUUUCAGAAGCUCCAAACUCUUAGAAAUAGAGAGAAAUGAGUACAGCUACCUGCAGUGGGACUCAGAUCUGCUCCCACGCCUUGAGAGGCAGUGAUGGUGGUGUCAGGUCAGGGAGGGCGGGUCCUGAUGACAGCAAGCGCCCCUCUUUCUCCCUCCCGCACCUUUGGCACAGUUCCACUGUUGUUCUUCCUCCCAAGCGCCAGAACGGGGGAUUGAAAGCCAAACUCCACUUUCCAGUCAUCUUUCUUCCAAGUUCCCAUCAUCUCCUUCUGGUCCUGGAGUUUUCUGUUGUAAGCCUGUUGAGGGAACUUCUGGGUUCUAACUUUCCAUCGACUCUCCUUUUAAAAAACUGUAACCUUCUAGUUAAUGUUACCUCCCUGCGGUCUUUUAAGAUUCCAACCCUACCCAUGCUUGGUCCUUAUCCUUGAUGUUUGUAAACUCCUUGACAGUUGAGACACACUGUCUUGCUGGGCCCUGGAUGCUCGUGGAAGUCUCCACUCUUCUAACAGGUACAAUUGAAUUCUCACAUUCUGGUGCGGUGAUAUAGAAAUGUAGUUAAAGGGCGCUUGUCCCUAAUAAGAAACCAGGGGGAAAGAGCUCCCGCUCAGAGCGACAGGAAUGUGUAUCUUUUGGGAAGGACUGUCCUCUGGUGUGCCAUGGUGCUCACUGAAUAUAUGGCAAAUGAAGUGUGGAACAGAAAACCCUCUGUAUUUUCUUAUUGUUAGGGAGGUAAUACCCACUGAAUUCUGAGUACCUACUAUGGGCAGGUUUUACAGAGUUGAGAAGUUCCCAGGGAGAAAAUGUAGGUUUAAACGUCACUGUUUAGGUCACUGUGCUCUCCCAACCUUUCUCCCCACAUCUGGCUCCCUGAGCAGUGGGUGGUGUUCUCCUGUGACGACAGGGCCAGUGUUCGGAGGAUGGCAGCCUGCAGCUUUCACACAGGAGAUGCCCUUGGCUUCCUGGAAGAGCAGAGUCUGUAACAGACAUUUCGAGGAAUAAGAGACAAUAUCUCUGGAGUUAUAUAGAGCCAUCGAGAGACAAAGUAAUUUUUGGAACAGACCAUUGAUUAUUGCAAAUCCACUUGCUUCUAUUUAAGGGCCUUGCAGUUAAGAAAUUGGGUGAGUCUCAGAAGAAACUUUGGAUGGUAACUUCUGAAGUUGGACUAAGUGUAUUUUGCAUUAUGAUAUUGUUACAAGCUUAUAGGGGCCAGGGAAUAGAAUGUGGUAAUUUGAAUGAA